rfam:Aspergillus glaucus CBS 516.65 unplaced genomic scaffold ASPGLscaffold_9, whole genome shotgun sequence.
UCCGAUGUGGUGUAACGGCUAGCAUCGCUCGUUUUCAGUUCAAAUCCGAGCAGAUCGGGGUUCGAUUCCCCGCAUCGGAA